CUGAGUGUAGUUCAGUGGUAGAGUGUGUGCUUGGCAUGCACAAGACCCUGGGUUUAAUCCCCAGCACAAAAU
rnacentral:tRNA from 1 species